CAAUAGCGUAUAUUUAAGUUGUUGCAGUUAAAAAGCUCGUAGUUGGAUUUCGGUUAAGAGCGACCGGUCCGCCGUUUGGUGUGCACUGGUUGGUUUUAACUUCCUGUAGAGGACGUGCUCUGGGUUUAACGACCUGGACUCGGAGUCUACGUGGUUACUUUGAAAAAAUUAGAGUGUUCAAAGCGGGCUUACGCUUGAAUAUUUCAGCAUGGAAUAACGCUAUAGGACUCCUGUCCUAUUUCGUUGGUCUCGGGACGGGAGUAAUGAUUAAGAGGAACAGUUGGGGGCAUUCGUAUUUCAUUGUCAGAGGUGAAAUUCUUGGAUUUAUGAAAGACGAACUUCUGCGAAAGCAUUUGCCAAGGAUGUUUNCAUUA
rnacentral:rRNA from 1 species